rnacentral:rRNA from 1 species
UACGAAGGGGGCUAGCGUUGCUCGGAAUCACUGGGCGUAAAGCGCACGUAGGCGGCUUCUUAAGUCAGGGGUGAAAUCCUGGAGCUCAACUCCAGAACCGCCUUUGAUACUGGGAGGCUCGAGUCCGGGAGAGGUGAGUGGAACUGCGAGUGUAGAGGUGAAAUUCGUAGAUAUUCGCAAGAACACCAGUGGCGAAGGCGGCUCACUGGCCCGGUACUGACGCUGAGGUGCGAAAGCGUGGGGAGCAAACAGG